rnacentral:sRNA from 1 species
CUUGCUCUGUUGUUCAGGGUUAUUAAUGAACCAUCAAGUACAAGUAAACCCUCAGUAUUCUUCACUAGUGUUGUUAUUCUUUGUGUUUCCCUUAGCUUUAUCGUCGCAUUCAAUAAUUCAAGCCAUCAGUGCAUCGCAUUAUGCGAUUACUUCAUGAACUUAAAUAUAUAAGGGACAUCACAUGUCUAACAAAACAACUGGUAUCGUAAAGUGGUUUAACGAAGAGAAAGGUUUCGGUUUCAUCACUCAAGACAACGGCGGCGCUGACGUAUUCGUUCACUUCCGUGCAAUCGCUUCUGAAGGCUUCAAGACUCUAGCUGAAGGCCAGAAAGUAUCUUUCGAAGUUGAGCAAGGCCAAAAAGGCCCACAAGCUGCUAACGUAGUUAAGCUUUAAUUUCGAGUUGGCGUAACUGGCUCUAUGCCGGUUACGCCGAU